GAGUUUGAUCAUGGCUCAGGAUGAACGCUGGCGGCGUGCUUAACACAUGCAAGUCGAACGAACCUUCGGGUUAGUGGCGGACGGGUGAGUAACGCGUGAGAAUCUGCCCUCAGGAGGGGGAUAACAGCUGGAAACGGCUGCUAAUACCCCAUAUGCCGCGAGGUGAAAUGAAUUUCGCCUGAGGAUGAGCUCGCGUCUGAUUAGCUAGUUGGUGUAGGUGAUGGCUCACCAAGGCAUCGAUCAGUAGCUGGUCUGAGAGGAUGAUCAGCCACACUGGGACUGAGACACGGCCCAGACUCCUACGGGAGGCAGCAGUGGGGAAUUUUCCGCGAUGGGCGAAAGCCUGACGGAGCAACGCCGCGUGAGGGAUGAAGGCCUCUGGGCUGUAAACCUCUUUUAUCAAGGAAGAAGAUCUGACGGUACUUGAUGAAUAAGCCACGGCUAAUUCCGUGCCAGCAGCCGCGGUAAUACGGGAGUGGCAAGCGUUAUCCGGAAUUAUUGGGCGUAAAGCGUCCGCAGGCGGCCCUUCAAGUCUGCUGUUAAAAAGUGGAGCUUAACUCCAUCAUGGCAGUGGAAACUGAGGGGCUUGAGUGUGGUAGGGGCAGAGGGAAUUCCCGGCGUAGCGGUGAAAUGCGUAGAUAUCGGGAAGAACACCAGUGGCGAAGGCGCUCUGCUGGGCCAUCACUGACGCUCAUGGACGAAAGCCAGGGGAGCGAAAGGGAUUAGAUACCCCUGUAGUCCUGGCCGUAAACGAUGAACACUAGGUGUCGGGAGAAUCGACCCCCUCGGUGUCGUAGCCAACGCGUUAAGUGUUCCGCCUGGGGAGUACGCACGCAAGUGUGAAACUCAAAGGAAUUGACGGGGGCCCGCACAAGCGGUGGAGUAUGUGGUUUAAUUCGAUGCAACGCGAAGAACCUUACCAGGGUUUGACAUCCUGCGAAUCUCUUGGAAACGAGAGAGUGCCUUCGGGAGCGCAGUGACAGGUGGUGCAUGGCUGUCGUCAGCUCGUGUCGUGAGAUGUUGGGUUAAGUCCCGCAACGAGCGCAACCCACGUCUUUAGUUGCCAGCAUUUAGUUGGGCACUCUAGAGAGACCGCCGGUGAUAAACCGGAGGAAGGUGUGGAUGACGUCAAGUCAUCAUGCCCCUUACAUCCUGGGCUACACACGUACUACAAUGCUACGGACAAAGGGCAGCAAGUUCGCGAGGACAAGCAAAUCCCAUAAACCGUGGCUCAGUUCAGAUCGUAGGCUGCAACUCGCCUACGUGAAGGAGGAAUCGCUAGUAAUCGCAGGUCAGCAUACUGCGGUGAAUACGUUCCCGGGCCUUGUACACACCGCCCGUCACACCAUGGAAGUUGGCCACGCCCGAAGCCGUUACUCCAACCCUUGUGGAGGAGGACGUCGAAGGUGGGGCUGAUGACUGGGGUGAAGUCGUAACAAGGUAACC
rnacentral:rRNA from 1 species